UACGGAGGGGACUAGCGUUGUUCGGAAUUACUGGGCGUAAAGCGCACGUAGGCGGAUUUGUAAGUCAGGGGUGAAAUCCCGAGGCUCAACCUCGGAACUGCCUUUGAUACUGCAAAUCUCGAGUCCGGAAGAGGUGAGUGGAAUUCCUAGUGUAGAGGUGAAAUUCGUAGAUAUUAGGAAGAAUACCAGUGGCGAAGGCGGCUCACUGGUCCGGUACUGACGCUGAGGUGCGAAAGCGUGGGGAGCGAACAGG
rnacentral:rRNA from 1 species